GAAAGUGAGAAACUGGACCUGAGCAACGAGAACAAAGAGUUGAAGGAGAAGAUGAAAAAGGCGACCUUAGAAAUUGAUCAACUGCGAAACAAGGAAGAAGAAAUGAGGCAAGAAAUGGAUAACUGGGAAGAAGACAAGAAGGUUCUGGAAUCAGUCGCCGCGAGAUCGGCUGAUCUCGAAACCGAGGUUGCGAGGCUUCAACAUGAUCUGAUCACUUCGAUGAGUGAUGCAGAUGAAGCGAACAAGCAGUCGAUGGAGUUGAAGAGAGAAUUGGAAGAGAAAGGGUUGGAGAUUAAGAGAUUGGACAAGGAAAUCACUGAACUGAAGAAAGAGAAAGUUGAGAACGAGAAGAGAGAGAGGGAGUUGGAGAGGAAAUUAGGGGUUCUAGAAGUGAGGGAAUCGGAGGAGAGGAGCAAAAAUGUUAGGAUGGAAGAGGAGCUGAGGCAACAGCUGGAUGUAUUCAAGAAUAAAGUUAAGGACCUGGAAGCAGAGGUGGCGAGAACGAGGGUUGAACUGGAGACGACUAAGGAAGAACAACGAGAA
rnacentral:lncRNA from 1 species